UUCUAGAUAAACUGUGAUCCUAUUCACGAGCAAAUCAUUUUCAUAAAGUCUUCAACGACAACGUGUAUAUAUUACCUUUAACUUUAUAUACAAGCAAUUUAUUUUCGUCAAGUCUUCAAUUGUGCAUAUUCAUUGAUCAAGUCAAUUGACAAAGCAUCGACGAAAUGAAUUCUUUGAAGUGCAUCAUGCUUUUAUUGGCAUUUGUUCAAUUUGCAAAAACAUCGCCUGUCACUUUCUGGGAAUAUGUCGAUAAACCAGACAAACCUUUUGGGC